AUUGAACGCUGGCGGCAGGCCUAACACAUGCAAGUCGAGCGGAGGAAGGGAGCUUGCUCCUGGAUUCAGCGGCGGGCGGGUGAGUAAUGCCUAGGAAUCUGCCUGGUAGUGGGGGAUAACGUCCGGAAACGGGCGCUAAUACCGCAUACGUCCUGAGGGAGAAAGUGGGGGGUCUUCGGACCUCACGCUAUCAGAUGAGCCUAGGUCGGAUUAGCUAGUUGGUGGGGUAAAGGCCUACCAAGGCGACGAUCCGUAACUGGUCUGAGAGGAUGAUCAGUCACACUGGAACUGAGACACGGUCCAGACUCCUACGGGAGGCAGCAGUGGGGAAUAUUGGACAAAGGGCGAAAGCCUGAUCCAGCCAUGCCGCGUGUGUGAAGAAGGUCUUCGGAUUGUAAAGCACUUUAAGUUGGGAGGAAGGGCAGUAAGUUAAUACCUUGCUGUUUUGACGUUACCAACAGAAUAAGCACCGGCUAACUUCGUG
rnacentral:rRNA from 1 species